rnacentral:rRNA from 1 species
UAAAAGGUGCUUCCAAUGCGACCCCAGGUCAGGCGGGGCUACCCGCUGAGUUUAAGCAUAUCAAUAAGCCGGAGGA